GUGAACGGCACUUGCACAUGGG
rnacentral:siRNA from 1 species